UACGGAGGGAGCUAGCGUUGUUCGGAAUUACUGGGCGUAAAGCGCGCGUAGGCGGCUUUGUAAGUUAGAGGUGAAAGCCCGGGGCUCAACCCCGGAAUUGCCUUUAAGACUGCAUCGCUUGAAUCCGGGAGAGGUGAGUGGAAUUCCCGGUGUAGCGGUGAAAUGUGUAGAGAUCGGGAGGAACACCGGUGGCGAAGGCGGGUCUCUGGGCAAUUCCUGACGCUGAGGCGCGAAAGCGUGGGGAGCAAACGGG
rnacentral:rRNA from 1 species